CCUACGGGAGGCUGCAGUAGGGAAUAUUGCGCAAUGGGGGAAACCCUGACGCAGCAACGCCGCGUGAGUGAGGAAGGUCUUAGGAUUGUAAAACUCUGUUCUUGGGGAAAUGGUACCCAAGUAGAAAGCACCGGCUAACUUCGUGCCAGCAGCCGCGGUAAUACGAAGGGUGCAAGCGUUGUUCGGAAUCAUUGGGCGUAAAGCGCGCGCAGGCGGAUCAGCAAGUCAGAUGUGAAAUCUCGAGGCUCAACCUCGAAACUGCGUCUGAAACUCUAGUCUAGAAUAUCGGAGGGGGAAGGGGAAUUUCACGUGUAGGGGUAAAAUCCGUAGAGAUGUGAAGGAACACCGGGGGCGAAGGCGCCUUCCUGGCGUUAUUGACGCUGAGGCGCGAAAGCGUGGGGAGCAAACAGGAUUAGAUACCUUGUAGUC
rnacentral:rRNA from 1 species